rnacentral:rRNA from 1 species
UACAGAGGGGGCAAGCGUUGUUCGGAAUUACUGGGCGUAAAGGGCGCGUAGGCGGCCUUCUAAGUCGAACGUGAAAUCCCCGGGCUCAACCCGGGAACUGCGUCCGAUACUGGAAGGCUUGAAUCCGGGAGAGGGAUGCGGAAUUCCAGGUGUAGCGGUGAAAUGCGUAGAUAUCUGGAGGAACGCCGGUGGCGAAGGCGGCAUCCUGGACCGGCAUUGACGCUGAGGCGCGAAAGCCAGGGGAGCAAACGGG